GUAGCUGAGCGGUAAAGCGCUUGAUUUCCGAAUCGGAGGUCCCGGGUUCGAAUCCUGGC
rfam:Biomphalaria glabrata isolate BB02 unplaced genomic scaffold LGTN_random_Scaffold4483, whole genome shotgun sequence.